AAGAAGAAGUAAGAAAAGUCAAAACAAGAUCCCAUGGCUGAUAGCACAACAAAUUCACACCAGCAAGCACAUUAAGGGUGGCUGAACAGGGGAUAUUGUGCUAAUGUGCAAUUUGUCCAGACUGAGAAGAAGAGGCAAUUUUUCUAUUAUGGAAAGUAGUCAUGGUAAGAUUGGAUAAGAAAUCGGUUAGAGGAGGGCAACACAGCCCUUAUGGUUUGCUCCUUCUAGUGUUAAGCUGUAACAAACCAUAAAUAUUGUGCAAGUUUCUGUAUACUGCAGUUUAUCAGCAGGGUGUUCUGUUACUUGAUUUAUGGUCUCGGUUGCUCUGGUUUAACAGCAGUUUGUAGGAGAGAACAUGUCCUGCAGUAGGGUCUGGGUGGUGCCUGGGGUCUGAGGCAUAACUAAAACCCAUGCAAGGCUGUCUUCUCCUCUCUGGCAACUGGCUGACGCUGCAAAACACACAGGAACCCUAAAAACAAAAGCAGCAUAAUGGGAAGGAAGGCGACUCACAGUUAGGCAAGGGGCCAGCUUUCUCUGCUUUUUCCUCUGAGUCUCCACUUGUGGAAGUCCCUGUUUGCAUGGCCUUACUAUCAACUGAUGUUUUAGCUGUUCAUUUGUGGUGAAUCAUAACCGAAGGGAACUGAAGCACUAUCUGAAAUUUGCUUCCUCUUGGGCAACAGAAGGACCAGCUGAACCUUCUUCCCCUUUUGGCUGCUCAGGCUGCUCUCUUGUCAGAGCACCAUUAUAGCAGUGCAACACUGCUUUAUUUACAGAAUUGGUGGCACUGCUUCGGCUUCCUUGAGCGGGGACCUUUUGAGUGUUUUUCUUUACUGGUGAGAAGAAUGUGUGACAGUGGAAGGGCAAGUCUUGCCUAGCAACUCCCAGGAUGGUUUAACUGGGCCCAAAGCACUCAAGAAGAACAGGAGGAGUAUCUCCAACAGCUCCUUGAAGGCAGAUAAAGCAGCGAGGUUGGUGUGGCCACAGCCUCAGGACAGCCCAGCAGCCUCCCCAGGGAAUCAAAGAGCCAGAUUAUCCAGAAUGGGCAAGCUGCACCAAGUCAAGUGCUUGUUUUUG